rnacentral:rRNA from 1 species
CAGUUCGGAUCGCAGUCUGCAACUCGACUGCGUGAAGGUGGAGUCGCUAGUAAUCGCGGAUCAGCAACGCCGCGGUGAAUGCGUUCCCGGGCCUUGUACACACCGCCCGUCAAGUCAUGAAAGUGGGCAGCACCCGAAGACGGUGGCCUAACCCUUGUGGGGGGAGGCCGUCUAAGGUGAGGCUCGUGAUUGGGACUAAGUCGUAACAAGGUAUC